UACGUAGGGGGCAAGCGUUGUCCGGAUUUAUUGGGCGUAAAGAGCGUGUAGGCGGCCAGAUAGGUCGGUUGUGAAAACUGGAGGCUUAACCUCCAGACGUCGACCGAAACCAUCUGGCUAGAGUCCGGAAGAGGAGAGUGGAAUUCCUGGUGUAGCGGUGAAAUGCGCAGAUAUCAGGAAGAACACCCGUGGCUAAGGCGGCUCUCUAGUACGGUACUGACGCUGAGACGCGAAAGCGUGGGGAGCGAACAGG
rnacentral:rRNA from 1 species